rnacentral:rRNA from 1 species
GACGAACGCUGGCGGCGUGCUUAACACAUGCAAGUCGAACGCUGAAGCUUGGUGCUUGCACUGGGUGGAUGAGUGGCGAACGGGUGAGUAAUACGUGAGUAACCUGCCCUUGACUCUGGGAUAAGCCUGGGAAACUGGGUCUAAUACUGGAUACGACAUGCCACUGCAUGGUGGUGUGUGGAAAGGGUUUUACUGGUUUUGGAUGGGCUCACGGCCUAUCAGCUUGUUGGUGGGGUAAUGGCCUACCAAGGCGACGACGGGUAGCCGGCCUGAGAGGGUGGACGGCCCCAAUGGGACUGAGACAGGGCCCAGAAUCCUACGGGAGGCAACAGUGGGGAAUAUUGCACAAUGGGCGGGAGCCUGAUGCAGCGGCGCCGCGUGAGGGAUGACGGCCUUCGGGUUGUAAACCUCUUUCAGCACGGAAGAAGCGAGAGUGACGGUACGUGCAGAAGAAGCGCCGGCUAACUACGUG